AAUUUUACAUGUAAUCUUUACAAAUGAAUUAAACUUCAUCAAAAUUCAUAAAUUUACAAUCUAUUAAAUUUAAAAACCCUCAAAAUUUUAGCUGAAUCCACCCCUAAGUGGCAACUAGCAUUAACAAAUGACGAAUUAAAAAGUAAAUUUAGGUUAAUCAAGUAGUAAAGAAAAAAGAACAUGGUUGGAAACUUUCUUGCUUUUAUUUCUCAUCCACAACCACCGAAUUAUGUGUGCCAUUUUUAAUAAAGAUUUGACUAACCAACCCUCUCUUCUUAAUACAUUAGUGAGAUCCCCAUCAAUGAAAGUUUAUUACUAAUUAUUCGCACAUGCAUAGUAGUUAUUGGAAUGGACUACACUUGUGUUUACCCCAUGGGUAUAUUCACCUCAUUGUUUACUCGGUUAUGAUUAACGUAUUUUCUUAUUAAAUAUUGUUUAAUUAUUCAUAAUUAUCGAGCAAAUUAAUAGUUUUGGUAAUACUGCUCAAUUUUAUGCAUAUUGACGACUUAAGAAUUUCCAACUUGAUUGAAUUUUUUUAUUACAGAUAAUAUUUAGGUAAUGAUUAAGAAAAUUUACGAAUACGCUUGUGACAUUUGUACAAUGAAAACGAAUUAAUAGUGAACAAAAACAUGCAUCCAUUCAAAGGGUGGAGGCAAGUAUCCUCCGGAAUGCAGGAUAGUAUUUGAAUUUUGUAGAAAUUUACCUAGCUCCUUUAAGUUAUGGAGGUCCAGUAAUAAUUUUGGCAAUGAAAACCUGGUGGAUCUCAUCUUAAACAUGGAGCAGUAACAUAACAUGUUCAGUUAAGGUCAUUAAUGGAUGCAACAGAUCGUAAGGUCCAGGGCUAAAUUUACCUACUAAGAACAUCUUCAGUGAAAGCUAAAAUACGAUUACUAAUCCGUUUGAACUCCGCUUUGACCCUAUGGAUAAAAAAAAUUAAUAAAAAAGGGAGAUUCUCCCACUUCAAGGCGUGUAAACAUACUCAUUCUAUUAGCUACUCCGCGCUCCCUGGGGACAUCGAUUAGUUAUCAAACGGUCGAAUGUAUUAACUAAUUAAGGCUAAUUAAUCAUUGUUGCUACAGCAUAACUACUAUCCUAUGUAUUAUGUACCACCGCCCAGUUCUCCACAAAUCGCACCACCUAUCAUCUCCAACUUUUCUUUCUUUUUCUUUGAAACCAAGUCACUGAAGAGGUCAAUGACAAGGCCUACAUUGUAAAUAAAAGAUCAUGAAAAAAAGGUGUGGGGGCGACAAUUAACAUCUAGCAAAGGAAAUCAAUGAAUUACCCAAAAAAAAAAGAAAAAAAAAAAGGAAAUCAAUGAUAUGUUACGAGUACACCGUUAAUAUAACAUUUUGCAUUUAGAAUAUAAUGUCGUGUGACAAAUGUUAUACAUAUAUUUAUAUCAUUAACAUAAAACGUCACUCGAUAAAAUAUUUACAUGUAUUAAGUCUUUUAAGGCAAGA
rnacentral:lncRNA from 1 species